rnacentral:lncRNA from 1 species
CAGCAGGCGUGGGGCAGUUGGGUGACCACUGAUGCAUAUCAAUAACCAUGUACUUGAGAUUUCUCAUGACAUCAUCAUUACCUUGGUCUCCCGCAGUCUCAAACCUUUGACCUUGCCGGGCUGGUCCACAAUUUGGCGGUGAAAGCCCCUCCAAUGAUGGCCCUUUUCUCCUUCUUUCAGACCGGGGCAGCAGUACGCCAGCAAGAGGGCAUGCUCUGCCCGCCUAGAAGUCCUAAGAAAUCGAGGAUCUCCCUUAAAACAUUCACAU